UUGUGUUUAAUUCAGUAGUAGAAUGCUUGCCUAACAUGCAUGAGGCUGAGGCCCUGGGUUCAAUCCCCUGACCACAAA
rnacentral:tRNA from 1 species